rnacentral:rRNA from 1 species
UGGGGAAUAUUGCGCAAUGGGCGAAAGCCUGACGCAGCAACGCCGCGUGAGGGAUGAAGGCCUUCGGGUUGUAAACCUCUUUCAGCAGGGAAGAAGCGAAAGUGACGGUACCUGCAGAAGAAGCACCGGCUAACUACGUGCCAGCAGCCGCGGUAAUACGUAGGGUGCAAGCGUUGUCCGGAUUUAUUGGGCGUAAAGAGCUCGUAGGCGGUUUGUUACGUCGGAUGUGAAAUCCUGGAGCUUAACUCCGGGCCUGCAUUCGAUACGGGCAGACUCGAGUGUUGUAGGGGAGACUGGAACUCCUGGUGUAGCGGUGAAAUGCGCAGAUAUCAGGAAGAACACCGAUGGCGAAGGCAGGUCUCUGGGCAACUACUGACGCUGAGGAGCGAAAGCGUGGGGAGCAAACAGGAUUAGAUACCCCCGUAGUCC